UUUAGACCUUCGGAAUUUGAAGCU
rnacentral:ncRNA from 2 species